UAAGUUACUUAAGCUACUUUUGCCUCAAGUAACUUUUCUUGGUUUCUACUUAUUAAGCUGAAGUGAUUAAGGGCCAUUUAGAUACCACCAAAUAAGUUACUUUUUUCUACUUACAGCAGUAGAUAAGCAGACUUAUUUCAGAUAAGUUUGAUUUAUGAUUAGUUAUAAGUAACUUUUUUACAUAAAAGUACAUAAUCACUUUGGUUAAUUUUUUUAGCCUUUCUACUUUUCAUAAGUUGCUGAAGAGAGGCAUCAGGGGAGACGAAAGAGAGGAGAAGCUGGUUAUCUGAACACAGGUGCAAGCCAAUUGGAUUCGCUGGUUUAGCAGUUGCAGUUUCCAUUUGAGAGCAUGGAUGAAGGAUUUGUGGGUGUUAUUUGCGAUCUUGGUAGAAAUAUGCUACCUUUUUCAACAAUGACCAACGUGUAUAUUCAUGGACUACAAUGUCUAAGUUAGCACUUCCAUAAGAAAUUCGGCGGUCUUGGGUUCCAUCCAGAAGGCAUAAUAGCAGGUAAUAGGAUUAAGCUGUAAAUAUUCUCACAAGGGGUGGUUCUCACUGCAUACAAUUCUGAAGUAGUAGAGUUCCCAACUAGUAAAGUUAUUGUGAAGUUUUUAGCUGUCUUAAUGCGCAGUGUUUUUCUAA